UACGAAGGGGGCUAGCGUUGCUCGGAAUCACUGGGCGUAAAGGGUGCGUAGGCGGGUCUUUAAGUCAGGGGUGAAAUCCUGGAGCUCAACUCCAGAACUGCCUUUGAUACUGAGGAUCUUGAGUUCGGGAGAGGUGAGUGGAACUGCGAGUGUAGAGGUGAAAUUCGUAGAUAUUCGGAAGAACACCAGUGGCGAAGGCGGCUCACUGGACUGGUAUUGACGCUGAUGUGCGAAAGCGUGGGGAGCAAACAGG
rnacentral:rRNA from 1 species